rnacentral:lncRNA from 1 species
UUCAAGUUCAGGGAUUUUGGACCAAAAUAAGUUUAUUUUCUUUUUUAAUAGGAAUGAAAAUGGAUCCUGGAAAUUUUGCAAUAGAAACUUUUCUCUUCUGCCAGAUUACAGUGGGAAUGUUUGGCAAUUCCUCAAUCCUAUUUUAUUAUAUUAUUUUGAUAUUUACAGAAAAGCAUUUAACGCCCAAAGACCUGAUUAUAGAGCACUUGACUUUCGCCAACUACUUGACUGUCAUCUUAAGAGGGUUUCCACAGACAAUGUCAUAGUUUGGGUUUAAGAAUUUCCUAGAUGACAUGGGAUGUAAAUUAAUAGUGUAUAUUUCCCGAAUAACAAGGGGGGUAUCUCUUUAUGCUAUGUGCCUACUGAGUUGUUUCCAAGCAAUCACCAUCAGCCCCAAUAACUCCAGGUGGAUAAAGCUUAAAUACAGAGCAACCAAGUACAUUGGUCCCUCCUGCUCAGUCAGUUGGCUCGUGCACCUGCUUCUAAACAUCUUGACUCCACUAAGAGAAUCAGGCACCAAUUACAAGAAAAAUGCAACUAACAGGUUGAGUUAUGGAUACUGCUCAUUGUUUGCUUCUGACAGUGUAGCAACUACAUUGUAUAUAUCUUUAGUGUGCUUCUCUGAUGUCUUCUGUCUGGGUCUCAUGGCCUGCUCAAGUAUCUCCAUGGUUAGUAUUCUCUACAGACAUAAGAGACAAGUCAAGCAUAUCCACAGUGCUCAACACUUUCUGAAAGUCUCACCUGAAGACAGAGCCACCCAAACUAUCCUCAUCCUGCUGUGCACAUUUGUCAUCUCUUACUCAUUCUCUUCCAUUGUGGCUAUCAUUAGAACAUACUUAAACUAUCCAGUGAUAUGGGGAGUAAAUAUAUUUACAUCUCUAGAAAUAUUCUUUUCCAUGUUUUGUCCCUUUGUUCUCAUCACCAAUAUGAGAUCUAGUUCCAAUCUGUUUUUACCCUGCUUAGGUAAGAGAUAACUUCUUCCAAAUAUGAUAUGAGGCUGGGGCAUCUUUC